rnacentral:sRNA from 1 species
CAUAACGCUUUUAGCGCCGAAUGCCCGGUA